CAGAAGUGCCCGCACUUUAAGACAUCAAAGAAAGCGAAAAGUAAAGAUUAUUAUUAUUGUUAUUAUUAUUGUUAUUAUUAUUAUUAAAAGAAA
rnacentral:ribozyme from 13 species